UGUUAUGAGCAUAAACGAGUUGCUUUUCAGCCAUUCCGGAAAGAUUUACAUAAAACAAAAUGGCUGAUAACUCGGAAAUUUUUAUUCCAUCUGUGGUUAUUCUGUCUUGUCUGAUGGUUGUUGGAUUUGUUGGUAAUCUGCAUGUUAUUUCGUAUAUGCGUUCAGGUUAAAGCCAACAAACCAUGCAAUUUUUAUCAAAGUUCUAAGCAUUUACGAUAUCAGUGCAUGUACAGUUCUUAUACCUUUGAUGAUAUACAAGUACAUCAAUCCAUGGACAUAUGGCAGCGUUUUUAGGUGUAGAAUCUUCGAGUUCAUGGCGAGUUUAAUUUUCACUGGAUCUAUAUUCACCCUACUAUUAGUAGCUGUUUACAGGUAUAGAAAGGUAUGUCGGCCACAUGGAUGGCAGAUAAAAAAUCGAGUUGCUAAACUGCUUUGCUUGAUUGCUGCGAUAUCUGCCUGUGUUUGUUCAUGUCCAUUUGUUGCAUUCACCGAGGUAAGGACACAAUCCUUUAAAAAUAAAACAUUUACAUGGUGCGUUAGAGUUGAAGGGACCACACAAUAUGUCCUAUAUCAUCUUAUAUUUAUUGCACUAAUAACGUUUGUGUCUUUAUGCGCUUUGGUAUCUCUGUAUGCGUGUAUUUUAAAAGCAGCAUCAGGAUUACACGCCAAAGAAAGCUUUGGUAAUGUUCACAAAAGUGGUGUAACAGGUUUGAAGCAUAUAAAACUAAAUGUUUUGAAUAGACAUAAAGAACAAUCGACUUCAUCUACAAAAACAAUUGAUUCGCAAGAAAUCGGAUAUAAUCAAGAUAACAUUGAGACAAGAGAUAACAGCGAGACUUUAGCCACCUGCUCAGCCAACCAAAUCAAAACAGAGACAACGAAUGACAAUCACCAGAAAAAGAACAGAAUAAGAAAAAUAACACUAGCUUUUAUAUUAGUGACUGUGUCCUUUUGUAUUAGCUAUAUUCCAUUUCUAUCUGCGGGCAUCUUUAAAAUACAGAUACAAAUGUCCUCCUCAUACCUCAGUAAAGAUGUUUAUAUUGCAUUACACUUUGUACAGACCUGUGUAUUUAUCAACAGCAUGGUAAACUGUUUUAUAUACAGCUGCUUUGACAUACAAUUCAAACAGGAAAUAGGGAUGCUAUAUAAAACGUUAUGUCGCACACGAAAAGACCGACGAUCCAAUUAAUACAUAUAAACUUAAGAAACCAUCUAGUUGGACUUUCUCCUGACCAAUACAAAUGAUAAAGAUUUAAUCAAUAUAGCUGCACGUAUGGAUUUUUUUAGUAUUUUUUCGACUUUCACUAUGCAAUUUAUUUUCAGUCUUGGUACACAAUUUUCAAAGUUGAUAUAAUAAUAUUUAAUAAUUAAAGAAAUAGUUACUUUAGAAAAUAACAGGAAAGAAAUGGAAUGCUUAUUGUUUCCGCUUUGUCAGUCCGUCCCUUAAUUACCUUAAGUUUACCCGAAAUACUUCUCGACAACCAUAGAUUUGAACCUGUCUGCGAUUUUGAUAUUUCAAAAAUAAAAGCGAAUAGAAUAUAACACGGAUAUAUAAGAUCAUGCAGCGGGAAAUAAAAUUAUUUAUUUCCAAUUUUUUAUCAGUAGUCCAAAAUACAAAUAGAAUAUACGUGGUGUAUGCUUUGUUCAAGGGAUAAUUAUAUAUAGAUGAAAUGUUUUGAGCAAACUUGUACAUGGGCUGUGGCUGUUAACUGACUUAGUUAAAUUUUCGACAGUAAUGGUCAAUGGUAGUAUAUUUUCGUAACAUCACAACCUGAAAAUUUCCUACCAUUAACCAUUAAUGUUAAAAAUUUAACUAAGUCGGCAAACAGGAUGUGGAUGAGCGACAGACCUGAAAUUGAAUCCCACAGUAUGGGACCAUAUGUUGGUGCUGUAUACCGAAAAUCUAAAGGCUGUGAUAAGUAGAUGCUGAGAAACUGCUACGAAAAUGCCCUACUAUUAACAUUUAACUAAGUCGGCAAACAUUCACCAUACUAUAAUCCUUCACCUGUGCAACCUGGCCAAAAAUCAACAGAUUCAAUAUUCAAGUAAUAAUUUACAUGUUGUAUGCGAUUAAUGACUGCUUUUACGGUAUUUGCAAAUGUAUCGCGUGACUAAGGCGGUAAGGGUUAUAUUGCAUAUUCUGACCGGGUUCUUUAAUAUAAUUUACGUUGAUCGUGCGCGUAAAUUAUUUUCUUUAUUAACUGCGUAAUAUCUUGAGAUAUGUUACUGUUUUAUACGUUUUCAAAAUUUUCAUGAAAAUCAACACGAAUCUGGAGCCAUCCUGCUUUAAAGAGACUCCACUGAGUUUUUUUGACAUGAUGGUUUCCCAGAUAAAUGUAACAAUUUGAUGUAGGUUUAGACCACUAAUCUUUGUGCAAAAUUUCAGAUCAUUCGUGCACUUCGUUUUCAAGAAUAAUUAUUCAAAUUGUAAAAAAUGACGCAAAAUAAAAAGCGUUUAAACACUUUUCACUCAAAUCGGGCUAAGAAAAGCAUAAAAUACGAUUUUCAAUUUAUUUCAAAGUAUAUUUCUUUGCUAUCUUUGCAAAUACAGGUCUCGACACUAACUUUUUCAGCAGGUGGUAUGCCGGACCACUGGAUCCAAAAUUCAGGUGGUCCUUUCUGAACACAGGUGGUCCAUCUUUUUUUUAUUCAUUUGUUUUUAAGGAAACUUCAGAUUUAGAAGAACUACACUUAAAAUUGGUGACAGAGACAUAUUUAUUAUUUGAUUUAUAACAACUGAAGAAAACAUGUAUUUUUCCUAUUUCAAUCUAAUCAGAUAGUAAGUCAUUGUAAUCCUAUUUAGUAUUUAUUAUCUCAUUGAAAAAUACAUGACAUAACUCAUACUUCGGUUAAGUGACUUCUUCCGCAACUCAAGUUAGGGAAUAGUGAAACAAUUUGUGAAUGACUUAUUUCCUUACUGUUAUAUAAACACUCAUUGCUGUUUCCUGGUACAUCUUAUAAGAAUAAUAAUUGCUUUUUAUAGAUUAACAUUUUUAAUUAAACUAUUAAGUUAUUAUAUUCUUGCCUUUGAAAAAAAUAAAAUAUUAAUGAUAAACAGAAAAAUUCCUACAUUAUAAUUGAGCUUAUCUUCCUCACAGAUUUAUCAUACAUCCUUGUUUGUUGAAAUGAAUUUAUUUUUGACAAAGUAUUUAUAACCUUUUAAAGUACUUAAAAUAAGAAAAAUAUGGAUCUCUGAUCGUUAAAAAAAAGGAGCCAAAGAUAACUAGAUAUUAAUUUUUCCUUUGCCUUUGUUUCCACCAUUAUUCAUGUGUUUAUCCGAUAUCACAUACUAGUGAUACAAUGUUAUAAAUUCAAUGCAGUACUAGAGACAUUUGCAUGAAUUUUAUACUUUAAUAAUUAAAAUGAUUUUCUCCUUUUUUAACUUCACUGUUAGCGAGUUAAUAAAAGGUUAUCUUUUUGAACUAAUGAGAUGAAUGAACAUAUACCUGUACAUCGGAGAAAUGGUUUUAAUCAACAAUUAUAGAACACGUUUUUCUACCAAAUAACCAUUCUCUUGGAUGAGCCCUGCACCAUUUGGAAAAUUCAAGUGGUCUAACGGACCAGUUGCCAGUAAAAUUAGGUGGUCCUUGCCAAAAUCAGGUGGUCUCGGACCAAUGGACCACCGCUAAUGUCGAGGCCUGUACAGUUUUCAUAUCUACCGGGAAAAAAAAGGUUGAAAUUGUUUUGUUGUUCUUCACUAAACAGACAUGAGCUAUGAAUAAAAAGAUAAAUGUAAUAAUAAUCAAAACACAUGUGAUGUAAUUGUUAACUUCAAUACAUAAGAGUGUACAUAUCAACAUUUUUUCUUGCAUAUUAUUUCAUGCAUCAUUUAUAUUCUUAAGUUCAUACGUAUUCCUAUUGUUUUGACUUCAUAAAGCACAUGCAGCUAUUCAGAAUAUAUCCGAUUUUUGCAACAGCAUUCGGACUUAUCCAUGGCUUUCUUUAAAUUAUUUGGACAUGUUAUAUUGUACACAAACACUCCUAUGUCAUAUACUAUCAUGAAUCCGCUUAUAAAUACAAUACAGCUCCGUACAAAAUUCCAAAAGGAUGAAGCAUUCAAGAUGUCAUCUCCUUGUUCCUUGCCAUAUGAUAUGGAGAAUAUGAACACUAUUAUUUCAACUGCCAUAAUAAAAAGUUCCAUUACGUGAAACAUACCUAGUCUGAUCCAUACAUGACAACACCCAUAGUUAAACCAGCAGCAACAAAAUACCCCCACAAUAAUUCCAAAGCCAUAUGUAAAAACACAAGCUUCCAUUAGUUUCUCAUUAGUAUUUGUCAUAUUGUUUACUUCGGCGUCAGGUCCGUCAUCUGUUCCAACUAUCACGCUUAUUUCUACAAUUGAUAAAAUGAUAGACAUCCAGUAUCUAAAUUUCCAUGCAUAAAUGGGAGUAAGUUUUACAUCACAUUUCCAUUCAAUGAAUUUGAGCAAUGUCUUUUGUAAUACUAAUGUUACAAUAUCAAAAACAUCAGAAGAAUCGAGUGUGUCUGCCAUAUUAGUUUUCACCUUU